GACGAACGCUGGCGGCGUGCUUAACACAUGCAAGUCGAACGGUGAAGGGGUCUGCUUUUGUGGGCCCCGGAUGAGGGGCGAGCGGGUGAGAAACACGUGAGUAACCUUUCCCCUUCUUCUGGAUAACCGCAUGAAAGGGUGGCAAAUACGGGAAAUUCUGGGUCUGUGGCAUGAUGGGUCUGGGAACGGUUGUGCCUUUGGGUGUUGUUGGUUGGGGGUGGGUUCGCGGCGUAUCGGCUUGUUGGGGGUGUGAUGGCUUACCAAGGCGGGGACGGGUAGCGGGCCGGAGGGGGGGGACGGUCAGACUGGGACUGAGACCCGGCCCAGACUGCUACGGGACGGAGCAGUAGGGAAUGUUGCAGAAGGGGCGCAAGCCUGAUGCAGCGACGCCGGGUGAGGGAUGGAGGCCUUCGGGUUGUAAGCCUCUUUGGCCAGUGAAGCAGGCUUGGUCCUUGUGGGUGGGUUGACGGUAGCUGGACAAGAAGCGCCGGCUAACUACGUG
rnacentral:rRNA from 1 species